AAUGGGCGCAAGCCUGAUGCAGCGACGCCGCGUGAGGGAUGACGGCCUUCGGGUUGUAAACCUCUUUCAGCAGGGACGAAGCGAGAGUGACGGUACCUGCAGAAGAAGCACCGGCCAACUACGUGCCAGCAGCCGCGGUAAUACGUAGGGUGCGAGCGUUGUCCGGAAUUACUGGGCGUAAAGAGCUCGUAGGUGGUUUGUCACGUUGUUCGUGAAAACUCACAGCUUAACUGUGGGCGUGCGGGCGAUACGGGCAGACUAGAGUACUGCAGGGGAGACUGGAAUUCCUGGUGUAGCGGUGGAAUGCGCAGAUAUCAGGAGGAACACCGGUGGCGAAGGCGGGUCUCUGGGCAGUAACUGACGCUGAGGAGCGAAAGCGUGGGGAGCGAACAGGAUUAGAUACCCUGGUAGUCCACGCCGUAAACGGUGGGUUCUAGGUGUGGGUUUCCUUCCUUGGGAUCCGUGCCGUAGCUAACGCAUUAAGUACCCCGCCUGGGGAGUACGGCC
rnacentral:rRNA from 1 species